GAAGGUGGCCUGUGAGGGUUGCUGGAGGUAUCAGAAGUGCGAAUGCUGACAUAAGUAACGAUAAAGCGGGUGAAAAGCCCGCUCGCCGGAAGACCAAGGGUUCCUGUCCAACGUUAAUCGGGGCAGGGUGAGUCGACCCCUAAGGCGAGGCCGAAAGGCGUAGUCGAUGGGAAACGGGUUAAUAUUCCCGUACUUGGUGUUACUGCGAAGGGGGGACGGAGAAGGCUAUGUUGGCCGGGCGACGGUUGUCCCGGUUUAAGCGUGUAGGUGUGUGUUCCAGGUAAAUCCGGUUCACUUUAACACUGAGGCGUGACGACGAGGCACUACGGUGCUGAAGCAACAAAUGCCCUGCUUCCAGGAAAAGCCUCUAAGCAUCAGGUAACAUCAAAUCGUACCCCAAACCGACACAGGUGGUCAGGUAGAGAAUACCAAGGCGCUUGAGAGAACUCGGGUGAAGGAACUAGGCAAAAUGGUGCCGUAACUUCGGGAGAAGGCACGCUGACACGUAGGUGAAGUGAUUUACUCACGGAGCUGAAGUCAGUCGAAGAUACCAGCUGGCUGCAACUGUUUAUUAAAAACACAGCACUGUGCAAACACGAAAGUGGACGUAUACGGUGUGACGCCUGCCCGGUGCCGGAAGGUUAAUUGAUGGGGUCAGCGCAAGCGAAGCUCCUGAUCGAAGCCCCGGUAAACGGCGGCCGUAACUAUAACGGUCCUAAGGUAGCGAAAUUCCUUGUCGGGUAAGUUCCGACCUGCACGAAUGGCGUAAUGAUGGCCAGGCUGUCUCCACCCGAGACUCAGUGAAAUUGAACUCGCUGUGAAGAUGCAGUGUACCCGCGGCAAGACGGAAAGACCCCGUGAACCUUUACUAUAGCUUGACACUGAACAUUGAGCCUUGAUGUGUAGGAUAGGUGGGAGGCUUUGAAGUGUGGACGCCAGUCUGCAUGGAGCCGACCUUGAAAUACCACCCUUUAAUGUUUGAUGUUCUAACGUGGACCCGUAAUCCGGGUUGCGGACAGUGUCUGGUGGGUAGUUUGACUGGGGCGGUCUCCUCCUAAAGAGUAACGGAGGAGCACGAAGGUUGGCUAAUCCUGGUCGGACAUCAGGAGGUUAGUGCAAUGGCAUAAGCCAGCUUGACUGCGAGCGUGACGGCGCGAGCAGGUGCGAAAGCAGGUCAUAGUGAUCCGGUGGUUCUGAAUGGAAGGGCCAUCGCUCAACGGAUAAAAGGUACUCCGGGGAUAACAGGCUGAUACCGCCCAAGAGUUCAUAUCGACGGCGGUGUUUGGCACCUCGAUGUCGGCUCAUCACAUCCUGGGGCUGAAGUAGGUCCCAAGGGUAUGGCUGUUCGCCAUUUAAAGUGGUACGCGAGCUGGGUUUAGAACGUCGUGAGACAGUUCGGUCCCUAUCUGCCGUGGGCGCUGGAGAACUGAGGGGGGCUGCUCCUAGUACGAGAGGACCGGAGUGGACGCAUCACUGGUGUUCGGGUUGUCAUGCCAAUGGCACUGCCCGGUAGCUAAAUGCGGAAGAGAUAAGUGCUGAAAGCAUCUAAGCACGAAACUUGCCCCGAGAUGAGUUCUCCCUGAGACUUUAGGUCUCCUGAAGGAACGUUGAAGACGACGACGUUGAUAGGCCGGGUGUGUAAGCGCAGCGAUGCGUUGAGCUAACCGGUACUAAUGAACCGUGAGGCUUAACCUU
rnacentral:rRNA from 3 species